UACGAAGGGGCUAGCGUUGCUCGGAAUCACUGGGCGUAAAGGGUGCGUAGGCGGGUCUUUAAGUCAGGGUGAAAUCCUGGAGUCAACUCCAGAACUGCCUUUGAUACUGAGGAUCUUGAGUUCGGAGAGGUGAGUGGAACUGCGAGUUGUAGAGGUGAAAUUCGAUAGAUAUUGCAAGAACACCAGUGGCGAAGGCGGACUCACUGGCCCGAUACUGACGCUGAGGCACGGAAAGCG
rnacentral:rRNA from 1 species